UGAGACUCUGUGCGCGUGCAUAUCAAUAAGCGGAGGAAAAGAAACUAACAAGGAUUCCCCUAGUAACGGCGAGUGAAGCGGGAAGAGCUCAAAUUUGAAAUCUUAAAGGGUUUCCCUUUACGAAUUGUAGUUUAAAGAAGUGUUUUCUGUUGGAGUUUCGGUAAAAGUUCUUUGGAAUAGGACAUCAUAGAGGGUGAGAAUCCCGUAUUUGUACAGUUCCUUCCUAGCUGUUGUGAUACACUUUCAACGAGUCGGAUUGUUUGGGAAUGCAGUCCAAGAUGGGUGGUAAAUUUCAUCUAAAGCUAAAUAUUGGCGAGAGACCGAUAGCGAACAAGUACCGUGAGGGAAAGAUGAAAAGAACUUUGAAAAGAGAGUUAAACAGUACGUGAAAUUGUCAAAAGAGAAGCGUUUGACACCAGUGUUGUUUAGUUGAAAAUCAAUUCAAUAGUUUUUGAUUCUAAGUAGUAUUGACUUCAUCAGCUUGCUGCUUUCUUCUCAGAAAUUAUUGAAUGCACUUUUCAGUUAACAAGUCAACAUCAAUUUCUUUUGUUGUAAAAGGGUAAGAGGAAGGUGGCUUGCGCUUCGGCUCAAGUGUUUAUAGCCUUUUAUCUCUGCAAUCGGAGAGAUUGAGGUCUGCAGCGUAGAUCCUUCGGGAUUAGAUACAUUGGUGCUAAGCUAUAGCCUUGUAUAGACAACUUGUUGACUAUGCUCAGUCAUGUAGCUUACUCGCUGAUGCUAUUUUACCUACGCUUAGGAUGUUGACAGCAGUAUAGACUGU
rnacentral:rRNA from 1 species